GCAUUGGAUUUGUCACAGUGCCUACCACCUCCUCUGGAGAACAUGGAAUUGGAGAAAACAGAAUCCAAUGUUUCUUGUGUUUUUGGUGCAGCUACUUCUGAUGGUUCCACUAUCCUGGAAUCAUCUCAUGGAAGUAAACCAAUUGAGGUUCCCCUAGCUAAAGGGACUCCCAUACAACCUAUGUUUUCUAGCAGUUCUGAGAAUGCUUCCACAGCAAGCCAUGCUGAAAGCUUGCCUUCUUCUGACGUUACUAGCUUGCCUGAUAUUUCUACUUCAUGUGUAGAAACCAAGGCUAGUCCUUUGCCAUCGCAUAAUAGUAUUGAAAACAUCAACACUGUGUCUCCUCCACUUCCACCGAGUCCACAGCUAUCUCGAAAAUUGUCAGGUUUCCAAAGUCCAUCAAAUAGCACCGAGUCUAGUAUGCAACUCAAUAAUCAUGUUGUUGACCAGUCUGUCCUUGACUAUUUGCUUGAGCAUAGAAUGGAUACUGCAAAGGACAACAUGGCUGAUAUCCCUUCUUCAGGUGACAAUUUGAGGAAGGGUGAG
rnacentral:misc_RNA from 1 species